AUUGAACGCUGGCGGCAGGCUUAACACAUGCAAGUCGAGCGGAGAUGAGGUGCUUGCACCUUAUCUUAGCGGCGUACGGGUGAGUAAUGCUUAGGAAUCUGCCUAUUAGUGGGGGACAACAUUCCGGAAGGAAUGCUAAUACCGCAUACGUCCUACGGGAGAAAGCAGGGGAUCUUCGGACCUUGCGCUAAUAGAUGAGCCUAAGUCGGAUUAGCUAGUUGGUGGGGUAAAGGCCUACCAAGGCGACGAUCUGUAGCGGGUCUGAGAGGAUGAUCCGCCACACUGGGACUGAGACACGGCCCAGACUCCUACGGGAGGCAGCAGUGGGGAAUAUUGGACAAUGGGGGGAACCCUGAUCCAGCCAUGCCGCGUGUGUGAAGAAGGCCUUAUGGUUGUAAAGCACUUUAAGCGAGGAGGAGGCUACUGAGACUAAUACUCUUGGAUAGUGGACGUUACUCGCAGAAUAAGCACCGGCUAACUCUGUGCCAGCCGCCGCCGUAAAAC
rnacentral:rRNA from 1 species